rnacentral:rRNA from 1 species
AUUGAACGCUGGCGGCAGGCCUAACACAUGCAAGUCGAACGAGUGGCGGACGGGUGAGUAAUGUCUGGCAAACUGCCUGAUGGAGGGGGCUAACUACUGGAAACGUUCGCUAAUACCGCAUACCAUCAAUUAGGCCCAUAUGGGCUUAGCUUGCUGGUGGGGUAAAGGCUCACCAAGUCGACGAUCCCUAGCUGGUCUGAGAGGAUGACCAGCCACACUGGAACGGAGACACGGUCCAGACUCCUACGGGAGGCAGCAGUGGGGAAUAUUGCACAAUGGGCGCAAGCCUGAUGCAGCCAUGCCGCGUGUAUGAAGAAGGCCUUCGGGUUGUAAAGUACUUUCAGCGGGGAGGCGUUACCCGCAGAAGAAGCACCGGCUAACUCCGUGCCAGCAGCCGCGGUAAUUC